GACGAACGCUGGCGGCGUGCUUAACACAUGCAAGUCGAACGGUGAAGCGCCUUCCUUUUUGGUGGGUGUGGAUGAGUGGCGAACGGGUGAGUAACACGUGAGUAACCUGCCCCCUUCUUCUGGAUAACCGCAUGAAAGUGUGGCUAAUACGGGAUAUUCUGGGUCUGUCGCAUGAUGGGUCUGGGAAAGAUAUUGUUUCGGUGGGGGAUGGGCUCGCGGCCUAUCAGCUUGUUGGUGGGGUGAUGGCCUACCAAGGCGGUGACGGGUAGCCGGCCUGAGAGGGUGGACGGUCACACAGGGACUGAGACACGGCCCAGACUCCUACGGGAGGCAGCAGUGGGGAAUAUUGCACAAUGGGCGAAAGCCUGAUGCAGCGACGCCGCGUGAGGGAUGGAGGCCUUCGGGUUGUGAACCUCUUUCGCCAGUGAAGCAGGCCUGCCUCGUUUGUGGGUGGGUUGACGGUAGCUGGAUAAGAAGCGCCGGCUAACUACGUG
rnacentral:rRNA from 1 species